rnacentral:rRNA from 1 species
UACGGGGGGUGCAAGCGUUGUCCGGAAUCAUUGGGCGUAAAGCGUUCGUAGACGGCAAGGUAAGUCAGAUGUUAAAGCCCGGGGCUCAACUCCGGUUCGGCAUUUGAUACUACCUGGCUAGAACGCGGUAGAGGUAAAGGGAAUUCCUGGUGUAGCGGUGAAAUGCAUUGAUAUCAGGAGGAACAUCGGUGGCGAAAGCGCUUUACUGGGCCGUUAUUGACGCUGAGGAACGAAAGCCGGGGGAGCAAAU